rnacentral:rRNA from 1 species
AGAGUUUGAUUCUGGCUCAGGAUGAACGCUAGCGACAGGCCUAACACAUGCAAGUCGAGGGGCAGCGAGAAUAAAGCUUGCUUUAUUUGUCGGCGACCGGCGCACGGGUGAGUAACGCGUAUGCAACCUUCCGCUACUCGGGGGAUAACCCGAAGAAAUUCGGACUAACACCGUAUGUGCUUAUAAUUCGCAUGAAUUUUAAGUGAAAAGUUAUGAGUAGCGAUGGGCAUGCGUAUGAUUAGCUAGUUGGCGGGGUAACGGCCCACCAAGGCGACGAUCAUUAGGGGUUCUGAGAGGAAGGUCCCCCACACUGGUACUGAGACACGGACCAGACUCCUACGGGAGGCAGCAGUGAGGAAUAUUGGUCAAUGGGCGAGAGCCUGAACCAGCCAAGUCGCGUGAAGGAUGACUGAUCUAUGGUUUGUAAACUUCUUUUAUAAGGGAAUAAAGUGCAGCACGUGUGCUGUUUUGUAUGUACCUUAUGAAUAAGCAUCGGCUAACUCCGUGCCAGCAGCCGCGGUAAUACGGAGGAUGCGAGCGUUAUCCGGAUUUAUUGGGUUUAAAGGGUGCGUAGGCGGGUUGAUAAGUCAGUGGUGAAAGUUUGCGGCUCAACCGUAAAAUUGCCGUUGAAACUGUCAAUCUUGAGUGCAAACGAGGCAGGCGGAAUGCGCCGUGUAGCGGUGAAAUGCUUAGAUAUGGCGCAGAACCCCGAUUGCGAAGGCAGCUUGCCAGCAUGCAACUGACGCUGAGGCACGAAAGCGUGGGUAUCAAACAGGAUUAGAUACCCUGGUAGUCCACGCAGUAAACGAU